UGGGGAAUAUUGCACAAUGGGGGAAACCCUGAUGCAGCGACGCCGCGUGAGCGAAGAAGUAUCUCGGUAUGUAAAGCUCUAUCAGCAGGGAAGAAGAUGACGGUACCUGACUAAGAAGCACCGGCUAAAUACGUGCCAGCAGCCGCGGUAAUACGUAUGGUGCAAGCGUUAUCCGGAUUUACUGGGUGUAAAGGGAGCGUAGACGGAGAAGCAAGUCUGGAGUGAAAACCCGGGGCUCAACCCCGGGACUGCUUUGGAAACUGUUUUUCUAGAGUGCCGGAGAGGUAAGCGGAAUUCCUAGUGUAGCGGUGAAAUGCGUAGAUAUUAGGAGGAACACCAGUGGCGAAGGCGGUUUACUGGACGGUAACUGACGUUGAGGCUCGAAAGCGUGGGGAGCAAACA
rnacentral:rRNA from 1 species